GCCCAUUCACUGCAACCAGAGAAAGCCCCCACUCACCGCAACCAGAGAAAGCCCGCUCACCGCAACCAGAAAGCCCGCUCACCGCAACCAGAGAAAGGUCCCUCACUGCAACCAGAGAAAGCCCGCCCAACGCAACCAGAGAAAACCCGCUCACGGCAACCAGAGAAAGCCCAUUCACUGCAACCAGAGAAAGCCCCACUCACCGCAACCAGAGAAAGCCCGCUCACCACAACCAGAAAGCCCGCUCACGGCAACCAGAAAGCCCAUUCACUGCAACCAGAAAGCCCCACUCACGCAACCAGAAAGCCCGCUCACCACAACCAGAAAGCCCGCUCACAGCAACCAGAAAGCCUGCUCACGCAACCAGAGAAAGCCCGCUCACCGCAACCAGAGAAAGGUCCCUCACUGCAACCAGAGAAAGCCCGCCCAACGCAACCAGAGAAAACCCGCUCACGGCAACCAGAGAAAGCCCAUUCACUGCAACCAGAGAAAGCCCCACUCACCGCAACCAGAGAAAGCCUGCUCACCACAAACAGAGAAAGCCCGCUCACGGCAACCAGAGAAAGCCCAUUCACUGCAACCAGAGAAAGCCCCCACUCACCGCAACCAGAGAAAGCCCGCUCACCACAACCAGAGAAAGCCCGCUCACAGCAACCAGAGAAAGCCCGCUCACCGCAACCAGAGAAAGCCCGCUCACUGCAACCAGAGAAAGGUCCCUCACUGCAACCAGAGAAAGCCCCCUCACUGCAACCAGAGAAAGCCCGCUCGCCGCAACCAGAGAAAGCCCGCUCGCCACAACCAGAGAAAGCCCCCACUCACAGCAACCAGAGAAAGCCUGCUCACCGCAACCAGAGAAAGCCUGCUCACCGCAACCAGAGAAAGCCUGCUCACUACAAGAAAGACACACUGCAGUCAAAAAAAAUAAAUAAAAUUUUACUGUCCUUGUGCUUUUUCCCUUGGGCUUCCUUAGGAAUCACUAUUUUGCAGAAUCAAAGAAUGUAUCUUUGA
rnacentral:lncRNA from 1 species